CCUGCCGUCUCUCUUCAGUUGAACUGCUGUGGCAUAGCUGGUGGUGUGGAGCAGUUUAUCUCGGACAUCUGCCCCAAAAAGCAGGUUCUGGAAUCCUUCCAGGUUAAGGUAAACUUUGAAGCAACCCUCUGGCACCCUGCCCUGCUGCUUAGACAAAUACCCACAAGGCCUAGCUUGGGUGAAUUUAGCAGCAUUCCUCCCAGGGGCCCCUUUCCUCAAGUGGCAGCGAGACAAAAGCCAGAUCAGAGAGGGAACAAAAUCCCCUAGCUCUCACAGCUACAGGCACCUGGGACCUUGCACACUGCCCAAGGCCCAAGCCUUAAAGGAACAAGCAGACCCCGUGGAGGGUAGGUAUGUCUACUCCUAAGGCUUUAGAAACAGUUCCUGGUUGCUCAGUUUUCCUUAAUCCAGAAGCAGAAUUAUAAAAGUGACUCUCCACAGCUGCAUGGAACUGGACCCCAGAAGAGCCUCUGUAGUGGCAGAAUGCUUGCCGGGUGGAUGAGGCUCCAGGUUCCAGCCCCAGAACUGCCAAAAAGAGAAAGAAAGGGUUGUGUGUGUGUGCACGCACUAUAUCGAGUUGUCUGUUCUUCUGGGAGAUACACACACCACACACACACACACACACACACACACACACACACACACCACUCAUAUAAAAGUAAAUAGAACAAGGAAAAGACCUCAAACCUCUCCCUUCUGGCCACUCAUUCCAGUUGGCCCUUCAACCACGAGGCCUCCCAGAAUGAUUCAGGAGU
rnacentral:lncRNA from 1 species